AGCUAAUAGAUACCCGGGUAGUCCACGCCCUAAACGAUGUCUACUAGUUGUUGGUGGAGUAAAAUCCAUGNGUAAACGCAGCUAAACGCGUGAAGUAGACCGCCUGGGGAGUACGGUCGCAAGAUUAAAACUCAAAGGAAUUGACGGGGGCCCGCACAAGCGGUGGAUUAUGUGGAUUAAAUUCGAUGCAACGCGAAAAACCUUACCUGGCCUUGACAUGCCACUAACGAAGCAGAGAUGCAUUAGGUGCCCGUAAGGGAAAGUGGACACAGGUGCUGCAUGGCUGUCGUCAGCUCGUGUUGUGAGAUGUUGGGUUAAGUCCCGCAACGAGCGCAACCCUUGCCAUUAAUUGCCAUCAUUUAGUUGGGCACUUUAAUGGGACUGCCGGUGAC
rnacentral:rRNA from 1 species